rnacentral:lncRNA from 1 species
GGCUUAAGUCAGAUAAAUCCAAUGAAAUCACCGUACCCAGGGUUUCUGUACUUAUUGCUCUCAUAUCUUCUGUGGAGGCUUGCAGGCUCUGGUUUCGAGAUUGCUCUCAGAAGAGAGCAUUCUCGUCCCCAGAGCCUUUCUUACGGAGCGCGACGAGGGGCUCUGGCCAAAUCCACAUCAAACUGGCAUCUGAUUGGCCACAACGAAGGUUAUUGUUCUAAUACCGGAUAUUGUUCUAAUACCAUGUUUUUUAUGGUUUCCGGUUUGGAUUUGGCCAGAGCCCCUCGUCGCACUCUGUUGACCGCGCGUAAGAACGGUUCUGGGUACGAGAAUGAAGAGAGAGCAACGAGCGCAGAAGCCCUGGGUACGAGGUUGAUGAUAUAUGGUAAGUUAUUCUAAUCAAGACGUGCCUUAUUUUAAUACCCCAGCGACUAAACGCUCAACAGAGCGUCUUGUUACAGUAAAAAAUACAAGAUCAUUCAAUUUUGUCACAAAUUAUCAAAUAAAAACACAUUUUAUCACGGUACAAUAGAACUAAGUACAGAAAAUCAGUCGGAACAAAUUGAAAUUACAGGAGCGGAAGUGAGAUAUGGUUCUUGUAUUCUGACUGUAAUGAUAAAUGCUUGGGUAUCACUGUGGGUUGCGGACAUACAAAUAAUAUAUAGAAUUAACAUGAUCAUUUCCUUACUUUAAUAACAGGCAGUUUACCACCAUUUGCUGCACAGAGUGCUCAGUGAAACCCACCUGAUCACUAGAAACAUUGCUAUUAAAAGCCAAUUAUGCAGUGCUUAUUAGUGUAUUUAUUAUUAGCAUGACAAAAUUACUGGAUGCUGAUUGGUUGAGAGGAGUACAAUUAUUUCAUUAAUUGUACUGCAGUACAAUAAUGAUUUUCCCAAAACAAACAAAAUGGAGGAAAGGUAUUUUAAACACAAAUGCGAAAUGAAAUUGCACAAGAGGAACUACAUGAAAAUACGAACAAAAGCACAAAAUUUUGCUUUAACAAAAGAACUAAAUGAAAAUACGAACAAAAGCACCAAAUUUUGGUUGAAAGUCUUGCAGGACUGGGCUUUGGCGAGAGAAUAUAAUGUUGACAUUGAGAAGUAUCCAAUUUUGUCAUGCUAAUAAUAAACAGGUAAUCAUGCAAUGUUGCUCGUACAAUUAGGGAUUAAUAGUACUUGUGAUGUUUGGAAAUUUGCCAAAUUGGACUCGCCCCAACAGCUCGUCCAAUUUUGGGAAAAUUUCCAAACAUCACUCAUACUAUUAAUCCCUAAUUGUACUUGCCAUCGCAUGGUUACCUAUACUAGUACAGGUCUAAAAACACUAUGGUUAAACUUUUAUCCAAUCACAAUGCUCGACAUUUUUUUAAUUAGAUUAACAAGCUUGCGAGUUGGUUUUGCAACGAGUGGAAGAGACUGAUUUAUCUCACAUCCUACCAUUGUCUGGUUUAUAUAACCAGCAAUCUGGUUAUAUUUGACCAGCUGGAUGUCCUUGUUAAAAUUAACCACAUAAAAUAUUUCCAUCUAACAUACUCUAGUUAUUUUAACCAGCAAGUUCUAAUCAAAUUAACUCGCUAGGUUAAAAUAACCAGGAAUAUUAAGUUAUAAAUUGGCCAAAGUUUGGGUUAUUUCCAGGUUAAUCAGUAAAUUUUUAACCAGAGUGUUUUUAGGGACUAUUCAUUAUUUAUGACCGGGCGUGGGCUGGCAAAAUUCAAUAACAACUAAACAAAAUGUCCUGCCCCACUCCCUACAUCACAAAAAAAUUCAAUGACCCCCUUCACAUAAAUUCUAAAAAAUAGUAACACUUCUAACCACCACCGACAAUAUAAUAAAUGCAUGUACAGUACUGUAUAGAUAUGAGCUCUUUAAACUUGUUGUAAAAUGCAUCAGAUCUUUCAUUUACUUGUGCUUUCAACAAUUAAUAUACAAGCCUAUUUAACCCAUUAAGCUGCAGAGUUUCCUGUUGACGAGUAAAAUCGUCUGGCGUUAAACAAGUAAAAAAAUAAGUACUGCGGUGCAAUGGGUUAACUAGAGACAUUGUCAGAUUAGUUGGUUAACCCAUUAAGCUGCAGAGCGCCGUAGAGGCUAAAGCUGGGGGUAAUAAAAAGUUGUUCAAAAAGGAAAAAGUUGCUUGAAGUUGCUCAAGCCGAAAAAAGUAGCUCCAAACGAAAAAAGUUGCUCCAAACGCAAAAAGUUGCUCAAAUGACUCAAAAGUUGCCGAGCACAAUCGGGACAUGCCUAGCAGAGCUUCCUCGUUGACGAGUAAAAUCGGUUAGGAGUAUAGGGUUAGGAGUAAGGUUAGGGUUACAGUGCUGUAGGAAGCUCUUUUUGAUUGGGGAGCUGAAAGCGAGGGCCAAAGGCCCGAGGAAAUUUUUAAAUUUAGAGUCGCUGAAAUGCCAUUUCCUGGACUUUGGAGAUGAUUUGACAGAAUUCUGAUGGUCAGAAAACAGCAUUUUAGUAUGUCGAAAUUUACAAUUUAGUAGCACUAAAUGGGUGAAGGCGUAUUUAAUUAACUAUAUACUGGAUAAGUUGCAGGAAAGUAUGAGAAAUAUCUUCAUUCUUUGCAGUUUGUCAUGGAUAAUGUAGCCACUUAAAAUUAAUCAAUUGUCAAUAUUUUAAAGGUAUAUUAUAUAUAUGAUAAAGGUCUGCAUGAUUUUGGAAAAAGAAUGAUUAUUAGCAAAUUAUAUAAUAUAUGCCAAACUUUCCCUCGACGUAAUGUUGCUACAUCGCUUACUCGUUAAUUAUCUUUUUUUAUUAAAAUGUACGUAUAUAAUUGAAAUAUGACAAAAAGUUAUGGCAAGUUCAUGGCAAGGUGGAUGUUCGAUUAUUUUCAUAUUAGCUGCGCGCAUUGCAUUUUGGGUAUUUGUGCAUUGCAUUUUGGGUUUAUCUGUUGAUUAAAAUUGAGAAUUUUGCUAGCUAUACAUGAAUUAAAUUUGCUGCCUUGGUUGCUCGCUCCCUGUGGUAGCAAUAAUUGAUACAUGUAAAUUUUUUCUCCACUAUAAUAAAUAACUGUUCCCCUCCCGUCUGAACCAAUAUUUUUAGGUGCCCCCCCUUUUUCAGUCAAAAAUACCUCAUGACCCACCCCCUUUUUUUGCCAGCCCACCCCAGUCAUAAAUAAUGAAUGGUCCCUUAAGGCCCGGUCACACUACACAACGAUAACGAUACGAUAAAUUGUAAACACGCGAUAAUUGGCAAAAAAAUGUGUUAGUGUCCAAUACUACAACGAAAAUAAUAAAAUUAUCGUUUGACGAUAACGAUUUUAAAAUCGCUCACCCGAGAGAUUUUUUUCAGUCGGACGAUAACGAUAAAUUUUUGACCAAUCAGCGUGCGUAUACAAGUUAUCGUAUCGUUAUCGUUGUGUAGUGUGACCUGGGCUUUAGAGUGUAUAAUAUUAAAUGAAUUUUACUUUUAGUCUUUUUGGCGUUGUAUGCAGCAAUACGUUCUUCCUUCACCUUUUCAGCAGCUGCCUAGAAUCAUGUGCAAAGAUCAAAGCUAGCUUCCAUUAAUGUAGGUACUAUGUAUAUGAUGCUGUAUAUGUAAACGGAGUUAGUAUAAUACAACAUGCAUAAGUUAGGAAGCCAGCAAUGCUACCUCCAUGGAAUAUAUUCAAGCCUUAAGAGGAUAACUCCAAGACUUAAUUAAAUUAAGAAUUCAGGAGUUAUUAUAGGCCAACCACAACAAUCAUGUGAAGGUAGUGAAGCUACCUCUGUAAACUUAUCUAGAGUAACUGGCUAACAACUCCAGGAUAUAUAUAUAUAUACAUAUAUAUAUAUAUAUAGACUAUAACCUGGAAAUUUACCUCGACUGAUACUGGAAAUUUCUCAUACCGAACAUUCCUAAAGGGGAGGGGGUUUGAGAAAACGUUCCUUGGAAAACGUUUGAAGUUUACGAUAGUUCAUGUCAGUAUCUGUUCCAAGCUCGUUCGAAAUUUUUCAAACACACUUGGCUUUAUGAGUUUUUGCCGCUAUGCUUCUUUACUUAUUUAAACUAUGACAUUUUCAUUCAGCCAGGUACACCAUCAAAUUGAUCAAAAUAUCAAAUGUAUAAUAAUAAGGCAUAGUACAAAACAUGGACUGGACUGGACUGUUGGACUGGACUGGACAGUUGGACUGGACUGAUUUUUACAUUUUCUCUAUUCUUGACUUGCAUGUC